UAAUAAAGGAAUAAAAAUUCAAAUAUUAAUUAAAAGUAUUUUUAAAACAUUUUUAAAUACAAGCUUUUCAAAUGGAUAAAAGGCUCACAUUCACUUUCUUCUACAUCAUAUUCAAACUUGUCCAAAUAAAUAAUAAAGUCAUCUCGACUCAAAGAAAAUCAUAUAAGUCUCAUACAAUUAAUAUAGAACCUAUAUCCUAAUGUCACAUCCUAUCAGAGCGUGGUGUUCCCGUGUCCUCUAGCAUGAGGUUCUUCAUAGUCAUCCACCUAUUCAUCUGCUCCCCCGAACACAAGUUCAAGAUCAUCACAGGAUCCAAACACAACAACACACAGGGAGUGAGUUAUCACAUUCCUAGCUAAUAGAGAAACAAGACAAUUAAAUAUACAUAUUAUAUAAAUGAGAUACCACUUGCUUAAACAUAGCUCACGUAACUUCACCACUUCAUCAUUCAAAAUUCACUUUUCAAUUAUCAAUCACAUUACACAAGAAUCCCACACUUCGAUCAAGAUAUAAUAACACAUCAAUUAGCAAGCAUAUGCAAUAGUUAUGCUAAGACUCAAUCUUAUAUGCAAUGUGGUACCAUGUCAGUGAAAAACCACCCUAGGGCGCUUAGGAGUACAUAACAAGACACACCACACAAUGAGUUUGUCCGGUCACUCUCACUAAGUAAGAUCAUAGGGAGACCAGUCAGGGUCACGAUGUUUUGCGAGAAUGCUCCAACCAUAUGAGAUCAGCAUAAGCUUAAAGGAGCACUCAAACCCGGUGACCCCCAAGGCCUACACUCCGAAGAGUCCGUCAGGGCCUCUCCCUCCUGAUUCAGGUCCAACCCCUAAAAUAAUUUUUACAUGCAGACACUGCUCAUGAAUUAUACAAUACCCACGACCUUACACUCGUGUUUUAAACACGUUCAACACAAUCGCACUAUGAUUGAACACUGGCUCCUAAAUAGGAAACCUACAUUUUCUCUUUAACACUGCGCAUCAACGCUUUUCUCAAGAUAACACUGGUCGGGUUAUUGUACAAUUCAUAGCUUACAACACAAGUAAUUUCACAUCAAGUGUUAACUACACACUUAUCCACAACUAGAACUCAUUCACAAUUUCACUUCUCAUAGUGUGAUAAUCCACCAUCACAUGUUUACACGUAUCUCACAAAUUAACACAUGUUCAACUUUACACUUAUACUCAAUCUCAAUAACAAUAUUAUAAUCUCAAAGCAACAUAUUCUUCUACAAUUCAUCACAUACUCACAAUUUGAAUCAUCAUUUCAUAUCCUCACUAUAACAAUUUAUAUAAAACACUAUCACAACAUUAGGACUAAAACCCCUUAACUAAUAUUACACAAUUAUAUCAAAAUCAUAGGUCGAAAUAUACAAAUAUCAAGAGCACAAUUUAUCAAGCAAUUUUCAUUAGGACAUCAAUAUUUUAUUUAUAAUCAUAAAGGAAAAAUUGCAAUUUAAUAAACAUCUCAAAAUAAAACCCCAAUUUAAUCCUCUAAGGAUCCCUACACAUGUUCUCACUAAUCCCCAACUGUGAAUAACUCAUCCCUUACCUCUGAGCGGACUCACGUGUCUUCAGCCAGGGAUAGCAACAUCU
rnacentral:lncRNA from 1 species